ensembl:lncRNA
AUGGCGUCAGCCACAUGGCGACCAGGGACAAAGAACAAAGCAUGCCUGCCUCGUGGCGCAUGGCCCUACCCCCCGGGCCACCCCUGGUGGGGCGCGGUUUCGCCCCAAGCCCAGCCCUGGUGGGAGUUGUCGCCAGCUUCGACCCAACCCGGGUGGGUGGUUCCCCCAGUCACGGCCCAGCCUCAGAGGGGAGGGGUCCCGACCCCAGCCCAGCCUCUGCAGGGCGUGUCGUCGGCCAACAAGGAAAGCGCAGCUCCGCCCCGGAUCACCAUGGAAACUCCGGCCGGCUGCCAAGAGAGGGCGCGCCAUGAUGACAUCACACUAGCAGCGACAGGAGAAGAACCAGGAAGUGGAAGCAUCGGAGCUCCGAAUUCAAGUCCUGCCUCAAAGAUCGGCUUCGAUACUGCUGUAACCACAGCACAAGAAAACACUCAGGACAUCCAGGAAAAUAAUACAAAACAACUUAAUGUUACCAAAGAGCCGGAAACAGCUCCAGCUCCAUCUGAUCCUGCUGUGAUCUCCGAAGCCAAGGGAGCCGAUGGGACUGCCCCAAACCCAAGACCUUGGAGAAGCUGAAUUCACAUGAGAAAGGACAGUAAAACCCACCAGCUUCAGCUGCUGCAAGAACCACGCCAGAAAUCCAACAGGUUCCCAGCUGCUGUGAACUCCUUUCUCCUCCCAUCCCCAGACAAAGAAGGGCAGUCGCCAUCUUUGCCUCUCGGCCACAUGGCAAGGUGGGGGUGAGGUGUAAGUUUCAUACUUUUUUCUCUCUUUUUUUCCUUUCUUUUUCCUGUGCCUUGUAAUCACCCUUAUAAUUUUUUGUUAAUAAACAGUUUCUCUUUUUUUCACUUUAGCAAAAAAUGAGGUUCACUUUCCUGGUAAAAUUUAAAAAGUUUAAUAAAAGACAAUAAGAGACAAUAAAGCAAAAGGUUCUACGGCUGAGUGCUUGGCAUUCAGCCAAGAGCACCUCUGCUGUUUUGGAGACACCCCUUAAAUACAUCAGUCUGUUGCAUAUUCAUAGACCCUCAUGCAUUAUUAAAAAACAUUCCUUUGAGUUCCUCCAACCCCCAUCCUAUAAAUCAACAUUUUUUAUUUCUCCUUGCGGCUUUGUCCUGUCGAUCACUCCCUGGUAAUGGACAAUCAAUAAAUUCCUUCCCUGGGUUCUGGUGUCCAUCACGCCAUCUUCAUCGAGAUAGGAUAAUCCAAGAAUGUAAAGAAUUUCCUGAUUAUCUUUUACCAUUCUCUGAGUUAGUUACAUGAACAAAAGCUUUUUAUAUCACCAUGUCAUAGUCCAAAAAAGAAUAUAUAUUUAUCAUACUACUAUUUCUAAGUUUUGUUAAUAGCAGAACUAAAAGAAACUAUAUUCAUACAGAAAAGUUUUCCAAUAUUAUACAUAUAGCAUUCAUUUUAAAAUUUGAGAAAAGCCAAUAGUAUAAUAUGUAUUUAUAACAUUUUCAUCCCCUGGUCUCCAUUUCUCUCAUUGACAUAAGAAGGGGAGUUAUUGAAGCCCUCUGUGUCAAGAUCCACUCAACCUGAGCGGGAGUCGUGAUGGUUCGUUUGACCCCAGGGUGCAAAAGACAAACAGCAGGAGACUAAAGUUUUAUCCAGCAGCAAGCAACAAUGCAGUUUAUUGAGUGCCAACAACUUAGUUUUGGUAUAGAGGGGAGAGAGAGAUGGAACAAAGUAAAAGGGGGAGAGAGAAAGAGAGAGAACAAAGGGAUGGGGAACAGCUACCAACAGAUGGGAUGACGAAGAGCCAAUAGACACGUCUUCCGUCUGUGGGGAGAAAGAGAUCUCAAAAGUCUCUUCAGAAAGUCAUCAUUUUAUAGUCCUUUUCCAAGGCGAGUGGCCUCUGGCCAAAAGUUGGGGAGAUUUAUGGACUAUUGUGUGUGGAGAUCGUUGCUCCAAGAAACAGGUGCAGGACAGACCACUACAGCCAGUACUCUGCUUGAGAGCAGCGUACCAUGGCAAACAGCAAGCACUGGCAAGCACACCUGUACACCCUUGGCAAGCAUCCACCUUGGCCAGGCCAGGAGCUCCUGUCCAGAGCGAGUGGUGGGGUCCCGGGGUCUCAGUCUCUGAUGAUGGUCGUGAGGCAGAUCAGGGAAUAUUCGGACUGACCCUUACACUCUGUCUUUACAGAAAAACACUCAUUUU